ensembl:rRNA 5S_rRNA 5S ribosomal RNA
AUCCAUGGCCAUACCAACUUGAACGCACUUGAACUCGUCUGAUCUUGGAAGCUAAGCAGGGUCGGGCCUGGUUAGUAUGUGGAUGGGAGGCCGCCUGGCAAUACCGGUUUCUGAAGUCU